UUUGGAGAAAACUGUUAUAGCAAAUAAGUUUGGUGAAAAAAAAAUGCAGCAUAAUGUUUAACUAUUAGAGUUUGAUUAACUAUUUUUAGGACUAAAACAUUAUUAUUUUAUUUCUCGAAGACUAUUUUUUUGGUGUCCUUAUUUGUGGAGAAUAAUAUGCUAGAAUACAUAUCUUAAUGGCUAUUGGCUAAAGUAUAGUUUUACCCAAAAAUAUAUUUGACACCGUCUUAUUGUUGUGCCUUUUCCUUGCUUUGCUUGGCCGUUAACUUGUGCUCUACAUAAAUUACAUCCUACUAGAGUCAACAACCAAUACCGCACAUCCAAAACCUAAACAUUACAUAACUAAUUAAGCUCCCGCUUCCACGACAGAUACAUUCUGUAAGGGAAGUUGAGCGAAACAUUAUGGGAUUUGUUUCUAUUAUGCAACUAAAAUUAAUUAGCUGCAACCCUUAAUGUUUACGAUUCCGAGUGAUUCAACUUGAUGUAAAACCAAGGCAAAUACAAUAAAACAGAAACAAUGCUAAUUGCUAAACUGAUGGUGCUUAUGCUGCUUUGUAGAUACAUGAAAAUUUUCACACUGAAUUUCAAUUUACUA